UGGGGAAUAUUGCACAAUGGAGGGAACUCUGAUGCAGCGACGCCGCGUGAGUGAUGAAGGAAUUCGUUUCGUAAAACUCUGUUCUAUGGGAAGAAAAGGACUGUACCAUAGGAGAAAGCUCCGGCUAAAUACGUGCCAGCAGCCGCGGUAAUACGUAUGGAGCGAGCGUUGUCCGGAAUUAUUGGGCGUAAAGGGUGCGCAGGCGGCUUUACAAGUUGGAUGUGAAAUAUUGUGGCUCAACCACAAACGUGCAUCCAAAACUGCAAAGCUUGAGUUAAGGAGGGGUAAGUGGAAUUCCUGGUGUAGCGGUAGAAUGCUUAGAUAUCAGGAGGAAUACCGGUGGCGAAGGCGACUUACUGGACUUAAACUGACGCUCAGGCACGAAAGCGUGGGGAGCAAGCAGG
rnacentral:rRNA from 1 species